rnacentral:lncRNA from 10 species
GAACAAACAGGGCACUGAGAUAACUAACGCUUGAUCACCACUGAGCAGAUUCCAAGUAGCAGGUUGGAUUUGGGAAGGUGGCUGAAUAAAUAUUAGCCUUUAUCACAGCUCAAACAACCCCAACUGCCAAACCGAAGAGUUCUUGGGAAGGAAUUGUAUUCCCUCUUCCGCUUUGGAGAACCAGAAAUCACAAUGUAAUUUUGUCACACUGCCCAGCAGAUAAUUCUUUUCUAGCUAGUAAAUAAAGGCAGGCACUGCCCUAUGUGUUUAAAGGCAUCGUAUGCCUACAUUUACUCUCUCUUUCAGAUAAAGAGGAGUAGGGCUGGCUUAACAAGAGAUACUUCCAAGAAACUGGAGGUGGGUUUUGCCUUUGACCAGUUGAGAACUUUGGUCAUAGGAAGAAUCCAUCCAGUCUGAAGAAUCUGAAGAAUUAUUCAAAGAUACUGCAAAAAGCCACGUCCAAGAAAAAGAAGUUUCCAAUUUCAUGUUCAUGGAGGAACUCCUUUUCAAAUUCCAAAAGCUGUGUCAACACAACCAAUGGGAGUUGGAGAGCCUAAGCAAUCAUCUGCGUGAUUCAAGUUAAAAAUAUUUGUCCCUAAAUCAUUUAGUUGAGGCAAGAAUAAUCUUCUCUAUGAAUUAAAUAAGCAAUCACCUUAACUGUAAUUAAAAUAUUAUAUUUGGACAGUGCUUUAUACUUUUCAAAGUACUUUCACUUAUUUCACAAUUAUCUCAUUUUCUAGGAAGGUGAAGAGCAGAGAGGUGAAGAGACCUGUCCAAAGACACAACCAUGAGAUAGUAGCUGGGAUCCAAGGGGUGGAUGAUGUGGCAGGAAUGAGAGAGUGUUUAAAGUUAUUUCUAACAGUCAGAGCCAGCAUUAAGAGCCUAAGUGCCUGACAUCUUGUCUCUCUAGUGCCAUGCUGCAUCUCACCUCUCUCCUCUAGAGGUGCCAUAUAGUCAAUCACAUUACGGACAUCAAGGUUUAUCAGCGGCACCCAGAAACUGACAUCAGGGAGAAGAUAAUGAAGCAACUUAGUCACAGAAAGGAACUACUGUUUACUGAGCACUUUUUAUAUGCUGGGCCUCUUGCUAAGCCCUUUAAAUAUAUUAGUGUAUUUCAUACUGUCAAUAGGUUGAUGAGGUAGAAAUUAUUAUCUUAAUUUAAGCCUUUGCAGGCUCAGGAGAAUUUGGUGACUCUGCAUCUUCAGUACAAUGCUGAGGGUAUCAUUGCUCUCCAACUUCCAGUUAAAGGUCUCACACUUCCCAACAGGAGCUUGACUAAUUAGUAAGGCCAGUUUCUCGCUGGGUCCCUCUCAUAUGCACCUUUUGGUUGUUGGAAUCAGCUGCAUCCUGAGCAGUAAGGAUGCUGAGGCCACUGAGGAAAGGAGUAUCUUUGCCUGCCCAAGUAUCUAAGUGGAAGGUCUUGCCCUCGGGGGUACAAGUGGAAGCAGCACAGCUUAAACUCUCUAAUGUGAUCAACCGAACGUUUGGUGUCAAAAUCCAAUUUAUGGAUACCACCUCCAACUUCAAAGGCAAAAGAGCUUAUGGCACAUAAGAAGACUACAUUUCCCAGCAUCCCUUGCAAUUGAGCUCACGUGAUUAGCUCUAGCCAAGAGGUGGCAAGCAGAAGAUACUUGAGUCUCUUCCUGGUGAAAUAGAAUGAAAGCACUGAACACAGAUGUGAAGUCUCUGUGCUUUUACUUCCGUCACUGUGGUGAAUUGGCAUCCAUAUGUUGAAAUGACAUCACAAGACAGAAACAAUUAGGGUCACUGAGUCACUGCAAGAAAGAGAGCUGCCCUGGAGAGUCAUCUAGAAUCACAGCAAUCUUCUGUAUAUUCAAGAAACAAAGCUUUGUUUGUACUGAGAUUGGAGGUUGUUAUUGCAGCAGAGUACAGCCUAUCCUAACCAAUACAGAAAAUAUAGUAGGCAAAAUAAGGGCACCCAAAAAAAUGCUCAUUUCCUAAUCUCCAGGACCUGUAAACAAGUUAUAUCAUAUGGCAAAGACAAAUCAAAGUUGCAGAUGGAAUUAAGGUUGCUAAUCAGCUAAUCUGGAGAUGGAGAGAUUGUUCUAGAUUAUCUGAGUAAACCCUAUGUAAUUACAAAGGAUCUUAAAAGCAGAAGAGAGAAUCAAAAGAAUCAGAAAGAUGGCAGUAUGAGUGGGACUUGGCCCAAUGUUGCUGGCUUUGAAGAUGAAGGAAUGAGGCCAUGAGUCAUCGAGUAUGGUAGCCUCUAUAAGCAGGAAAAGGCAAGGAAAUGGUUCUACCCUAGAAUGUUCAGAAAGGAAUGCACCCUACCAACACCAGUCUUUGCCUGGGUAAGGUAUAUGUUCCACUCCUAAGCUAUAGAACUAUAAAUAAUAAAUCUGUGUUGUUUUAAGCCACUAAGUUUGGGAUAAUUUGUUGCAGCACUAAUAGAAGACUAAUACAGAGGCAUUUGUAGACCUCAGGCUCAUUCAAGAAUUCUCAUCUGUUUCCCCAUAAUGCUCUAAAUAUAUUUUAUUAAUGUACUUCCCAUAUCAUAUCUUGAUUAUCUCUGUGUGUAUGUGUCAUUUUCUUCCCUAGAGUGAAAGUUUUCUUGAGGGCAAGAAUUAAGUCUUCUUC